rnacentral:rRNA from 1 species
AGAGUUUGAUCCUGGCUCAGGAUGAACGCUGGCGGCGUGCCUAAUACAUGCAAGUCGAGCGAACGGACGAGAAGCUUGCUUCUCUGAUGUUAGCGGCGGACGGGUGAGUAACACGUGGAUAACCUACCUAUAAGACUGGGAUAACUUCGGGAAACCGGAGCUAAUACCGGAUAAUAUUUUGAACCGCAUGGUUCAAAAGUGAAAGACGGUCUUGCUGUCACUUAUAGAUGGAUCCGCGCUGCAUUAGCUAGUUGGUAAGGUAACGGCUUACCAAGGCAACGAUGCAUAGCCGACCUGAGAGGGUGAUCGGCCACACUGGAACUGAGACACGGUCCAGACUCCUACGGGAGGCAGCAGUAGGGAAUCUUCCGCAAUGGGCGAAAGCCUGACGGAGCAACGCCGCGUGAGUGAUGAAGGUCUUCGGAUCGUAAAACUCUGUUAUUAGGGAAGAACAUAUGUGUAAGUAACUGUGCACAUCUUGACGGUACCUAAUCAGAAAGCCACGGCUAACUACGUGCCAGCAGCCGCGGUAAUACGUAGGUGGCAAGCGUUAUCCGGAAUUAUUGGGCGUAAAGCGCGCGUAGGCGGUUUUUUAAGUCUGAUGUGAAAGCCCACGGCUCAACCGUGGAGGGUCAUUGGAAACUGGAAAACUUGAGUGCAGAAGAGGAAAGUGGAAUUCCAUGUGUAGCGGUGAAAUGCGCAGAGAUAUGGAGGAACACCAGUGGCGAAGGCGACUUUCUGGUCUGUAACUGACGCUGAUGUGCGAAAGCGUGGGGAUCAAACAGGAUUAGAUACCCUGGUAGUCCACGCCGUAAACGAUGAGUGCUAAGUGUUAGGGGGUUUCCGCCCCUUAGUGCUGCAGCUAACGCAUUAAGCACUCCGCCUGGGGAGUACGACCGCAAGGUUGAAACUCAAAGGAAUUGACGGGGACCCGCACAAGCGGUGGAGCAUGUGGUUUAAUUCGAAGCAACGCGAAGAACCUUACCAAAUCUUGACAUCCUUUGACAACUCUAGAGAUAGAGCUUUCCCCUUCGGGGGACAAAGUGACAGGUGGUGCAUGGUUGUCGUCAGCUCGUGUCGUGAGAUGUUGGGUUAAGUCCCGCAACGAGCGCAACCCUUAAGCUUAGUUGCCAUCAUUAAGUUGGGCACUCUAAGUUGACUGCCGGUGACAAACCGGAGGAAGGUGGGGAUGACGUCAAAUCAUCAUGCCCCUUAUGAUUUGGGCUACACACGUGCUACAAUGGACAAUACAAAGGGCAGCGAAACCGCGAGGUUAAGCAAAUCCCAUAAAGUUGUUCUCAGUUCGGAUUGUAGUCUGCAACUCGACUACAUGAAGCUGGAAUCGCUAGUAAUCGUAGAUCAGCAUGCUACGGUGAAUACGUUCCCGGGUCUUGUACACACCGCCCGUCACACCACGAGAGUUGUAACACCCGAAGCCGGUGGAGUAACCUUUUAGGAGCUAGCCGUCGAAGGUGGGACAAAUGAUUGGGGUGAAGUCGUAACAAGGUAGCCGUAUCGGAAGGUGCGGCUGGAUCACCU